GGAGAGGUGGCUGAGCGGUCGAAAGCACCGCACUCGAAAUGCGGCAUACGGGCAACCGCGUCGUGGGUUCGAAUCCCAAUCUUUUUCGCCA
rnacentral:tRNA from 1 species